rnacentral:tRNA from 6 species
GGCCGCGUGGCAGAGUGGUGAUGCAGCGGACUGCAAAUCCGUAUAUGCCGGUUCGAUUCCGGCCGCGGCCU